AUUGGUUUGUUUUGAGGGCCUAGGUUUUGCCGGUAGAGAAAAGGAACAAUUUGUGAAUCCCCGAGCACUGCACUGCGCUUACUGCUCUUUAUCCGUUGUUUUUGCUAAUAAUUCUCGUCCAAAUUGGCUUCUUGAGCAUGAUCUUCUAUGAUGGAAAGAACAAAUGAAUUGUUAAAAUGGGGACCCCACUUGUAUAACAUGGGUGUCUGAGGAAAAUUUCUCUGCUCGUCAUAGGUCCAACAUUUUGAUGAUAAAAACCUGAUACACUUUCCAGGUUUAGUCGUUGAUGAGCAUCAUUUUGCAGGUUUCUGCCCUUCUAGAGAUGUUCUAAUUUUUUUAUCCGUGGAGGUAGGUCCAAGUACAUUGGCCGUGGCAACUGAAAAUUCCCCCUACGUCCAUUUGUAUACAUCCAACAUGGGUUGUCAUUGUUUUCAAUGGCUCCUUGCUAUAUGUAUUCUCCAUCCAGCAGGAUCAAAGAGACCAACUUGUCCUCCACUCCCUGCAACUCUGUCUUGCUCAUUCAAAUCUUUGUUCAGUUGUCAAUAACUUGUUUGUCCUCAGUGGAGCUAUGCACAUUUUACAAUUAUAUAUUUGUAUGUAUGUAUAUAUAUAUACAUCAGUUUACAUUCUGAAACGUUCAUUUGAUAAGAUAAA